GAUGAACGCUGGCGGCGUGCCUAAUACAUGCCAGUAGAACGCUGAAGGAAGGAGCUUGCUCUUUCCGGAUGAGUUGCGAACGGGUGAGUAACGCGUAGGUAACCUGCCUGGUAGCGGGGGAUAACUAUUGGAAACGAUAGCUAAUACCGCAUAACAGUAGAUGUUGCAUGAUAUCUACUUAAAAGGUGCAAUUGCACCUCUACCAGAUGGACCUGCGUUGUAUUAGCUAGUUGGUGAGGUAACGGCUCACCAAGGCGACGAUACAUAGCCGACCUGAGAGGGUGAUCGGCCACACUGGGACUGAGACACGGCCCAGACUCCUACGGGAGGCAGCAGUAGGGAAUCUUCGGCAAUGGACGGAAGUCUGACCGAGCAACGCCGCGUGAGUGAAGAAGGUUUUCGGAUCGUAAAGCUCUGUUGUAAGAGAAGAACGAGUGUGAGAGUGGAAAGUUCACACUGUGACGGUAUCUUACCAGAAAGGGACGGCUAACUACGUG
rnacentral:rRNA from 1 species